AAUUUUUCACAAGAUCAUUUAAGGAUAAAAGGAUUCUCCAGAUUUCUUCUGUACAUGGGGACAGCUCCUAUGGUGGAAAAUGGUGAUUUACGUGGGAUAAGACCUCUACCUGACCUUACCUGUGUGUCCGCUGCAAGCUUUCUAUGGAAUCCAGAAGGAAAUCCAGUGGAAUGAGCUGGCUCUUCAGGAAUAAAUCAGUAGAAAGAAGGUACAACUUAUGAGAAAAGCAAGUAAUGGAUUGGGAGCUGUGGUAAGCAGAUUCCUGAACCUGAGAUGUUCAAAAGGGUAACCUUGGUGACUCUGAAGUGGUAUUUUGACUUGGGAAUUUUGACUGCGACAAAAUCAACAAUAUUGUGGUGAGAUUUGCAUAUAGGACUCAGUAAUGUUUUUGAAUGAAGAUGACUUGUUAAUAAUAUUGAAGAUGGAUUCGGUUUACUAAUUCAUUCCUAUUUGUGAAGACUUGGGUAUGGGGGAAGACAAAGUGAAACCAGCUAUGUUGUGCCCUGCACCAUGGAGAGGCUUCCUGAAUUAAGAAUUAAGAAGAGACGCAAGGCUUCAGUCCAACAGCCAAGUAGGAAGUUAAUGUUGCCAACAACCACUGGAGUGAGCUUGGAAGCAGAUUUCACCUUCAGUUAACUUUUAUUUAAGAUGACUACAAUUGUGUGAGAGACUAAAAGACAUAACACAGUACACAGA